rnacentral:rRNA from 1 species
GACGAACGCUGGCGGCGUGCUUAACACAUGCAAGUCGAACGGAAAGGCCCUGCUUUUGUGGGGUGCUCGAGUGGCGAACGGGUGAGUAACACGUGAGUAACCUGCCCUUGACUUUGGGAUAACUUCAGGAAACUGGGGCUAAUACCGGAUAGGAGCUCCUGCUGCAUGGUGGGGGUUGGAAAGUUUCGGCGGUUGGGGAUGGACUCGCGGCUUGUCAGCUUGUUGGUGGGGUAGUGGCUUACCAAGGCUUUGACGGGUAGCCGGCCUGAGAGGGUGACCGGCCCCAAUGGGUACGGGAUGCGGCAGAGACGACUACGGGAGGCAGCGGGGGAGAAUAUUGCACAAUGGGCGGGAGCGUGAUGCAGGUACGCGGCGUGCGAAACGACGUCCGUCGGGAUGUAAGCCGCUUACGUCUGAGACGAAGGGUGUGAGACGGUAAUGAGUAAGAGGCACGGCCUAACUACGG